rnacentral:rRNA from 1 species
GACGAACGCUGGCGGCGUGCUUAACACAUGCAAGUCGAACGGUGAACCCGCUUCGGUGGGGGAUCAGUGGCGAACGGGUGAGUAACACGUGGGCAACCUGCCCCCGGCUCUGGGAUAACUCCAAGAAAUUGGGGCUAAUACCGGAUAUGACCGCUGACCGCAUGGUCUGGUGGUGGAAAGAUUUAUCGGCUGGGGAUGGGCCCGCGGCCUAUCAGCUUGUUGGUGGGGUAGUGGCCUACCAAGGCGACGACGGGUAGCCGGCCUGAGAGGGUGACCGGCCACACUGGGACUGAGACACGGCCCAGACUCCUACGGGAGGCAGCAGUGGGGAAUAUUGCGCAAUGGGCGGAAGCCUGACGCAGCGACGCCGCGUGGGGGAUGACGGCCUUCGGGUUGUAAACCUCUUUCAGCAGGGACGAAGCCGGGAGGUGACGGUACCUGCAGAAGAAGCACCGGCCAACUACGUGCCAGCCGCCGCCGUAACAC